UCAGAUAUACUGACUGGCAUGCAACCAUGGCUUAAUCUAACUUUGUUGAUACUUCUUUUUUAACUUACGUUCUUGCUCAUAUUGCAACAAUUUUCUUGCUUGUGCUCUCUCUUCUCUUUCUUUCGACUUGUAUGUUCUCUUUACUCCAAUGUUCUCAUUUUUAAUAACCAUAAUUUUUCAUUAUAUAUUGUUAAAUUUGCUUCCUAUCUCCCAUCUAACUACAUAAUUCUCUUAACUUUUGAAUCAAUUUCAAUUUUAUAAUCUCUUUGUACAACAUCCAAAACUACUCAUUCAGCAAUUAAUUCCUAACACUCAAUACUAUUGUCGUAUCUCGGUAGUGGUGCCAAAAUGUGGUAUUUGUUUUACUUAUUUUACAAAUUAUUUUUAGAAUAAACCCGUUGUCGUAUUACGUGAAGUCUUGCUUGAAAAUGCACUGGGCACCUGGUUGUGGAAGGUAAAGAAAAUUGUAACAAAAGGUCCUAACGAUCCAAUAGGAUUAUAAAGAAAUUACAAUUAAACAUUAACAAUCAUAAUCAAAUAUUAAGCAAGUUCAAUUAAAUUUUUAUUGAAGUUAUAAAAAAAACACAAUGAAAUCUUAAAGAAAUAUAAAAGAAUAUUAAAGAAAACUUAGUCAAACCCUAACAAAAAUCUAAAUAAACUUUAAAUUCUAACCAAACCUUAAUCUUAAUCUAAUCUUAAUCAAAUCCUAGACAAACCCUAAACCCUAAACAUACCCUAGUCAAAUCUUAGAUAAAUCCUAACCCUAACAAAUCUUAAUCAAUUCCAAACCCUAAACAAACUCUAGUCAAAUCCUAAACAAACCCUAGUCAAAUCCUAGUCAAACCCUAACUCUAAAUCUUAACCAAAUCCUAAUCCUAAUCCUAAACUCUAAUCAAAUCCUAAUCAAAUCCUAAUC
rnacentral:lncRNA from 1 species